UUUGAGAUGAUGUGCAGUUCAUGUUAGAUUUGCUAUUUCUACAGUUACGGUGAAGUAGAAGAGUCCGGUCGUGUUACGGGGCAGCUGUCAAAGAAGAAGGGAGGAGAGAUGUGUGCCAUGUUGAAGUAGCGGCUGCCCCUCCUGACACUUCUAGAGUCCUCCAUCUCAAUCUCUGGUCUGAUCUGCUGUGCCUUUGCCAAGUGAUCACGAGUUUACUGCAAUGGUGCCCCCCUGCGUCUC